ACUACGUGAGGCAGCAGUGAGGAAUAUUGGUCAAUGGACGAGAGUCUGAACCAGCCAAGUAGCGUGAAGGAUGACUGCCCUAUGGGUUGUAAACUUCUUUUAUAUGGGAAUAAAAUGUUCCACGUGUGGGAUUUUGUAUGUACCAUAUGAAUAAGGAUCGGCUAACUCCGUGCCAGCAGCCGCGGUAAUACGGAGGAUCCGAGCGUUAUCCGGAUUUAUUGGGUUUAAAGGGAGCGUAGGUGGAUUGUUAAGUCAGUUGUGAAAGUUUGCGGCUCAACCGUAAAAUUGCAGUUGAAACUGGCAGUCUUGAGUACAGUAGAGGUGGGCGGAAUUCGUGGUGUAGCGGUGAAAUGCUUAGAUAUCACGAAGAACUCCGAUUGCGAAGGCAGCUCACUGGACUGCAACUGACACUGAGGCUCGAAAGUGUGGGUAUCAAACAGGAUUAGAUACCCCUGUAGUC
rnacentral:rRNA from 1 species